rnacentral:rRNA from 1 species
AAUCAACGCUGGCGGCGUGCCUCAGACAUGCAAGUCGAACGAUUAAAGCUCUCUUCGGAGAGUGCAUAAAGUGGCGCACGGGUGAGUAACACGUAAGUAAUCUACCUUCGAGUGGGGAAUAACGUCCGGAAACGGACGCUAAUACCGCAUAAUGCAGCGGCAUCGCAAGAUGACAGUUGUUAAAGAUUUAUCGCUUGAAGAGGAGCUUGCGGCAGAUUAGCUAGUUGGUAAGGUAAUGGCUUACCAAGGCUACGAUCUGUAACCGGUCUAAGAGGACGGUCGGUCACACUGACACUGAAUAACGGGUCAGACUCCUACGGAGGCAGCAGUCGGGAAUUUUGGGCAAUGGGCGAAAGCCUGACCCAGCAACGCCGCGUGAAGGAUGAAGUAUUUCGGUAUGUAAACUUCGAAAGAAUGGGAAGAAUAAAUGACGGUACCAUUUAUAAGGUCCGGCUAACUACGUGCCAGCAGCCGCUGU